GGGCAGCUGGAAGUCGCACAGGGUCCGGAUCACACCAGCGGCCAUCUCCGCACGUCCCACGCUUCUGGGGCCUCCAGGGCAGCAGGGGCUGGCUAGGGAGGGAGGCAGAGGAGCAGGUUCCCUGUCAGGCCUGGCCAUGCCCCCACCACCCUCGAUUGCUGCACUCGGAUCCCACCCAUCUGUGGCCUCCCCCAGAGACCUUCCUCAGCUCCUGGGCUCCCAGUUGUGCUUGCUGAGGGCACGGAUUGCCACCGGAGUGAGGCGUGGAGAGAGAUGGGGAUGUCCUCCCGCUGGCUGUCCAGAAGGCGAGCUGCGAGGCCCCCAGACCUGGCCGGCCCAGCUGUGGUUCUGAUCUCACUCAAGUGCUGGGGUCCCCAUCGCAGGAGACGUCCAGUGUCCUGAGUGCUGGACUUUGAGGCUGACUGCUCACGGACAGCCCAGACGCAGGUGCCCUCCCAUGGCCGUCUGCCCGGAUGCCAGCCCAGCCCUGGGCCAGCAGGACUCUCCCGGGGUGGGUGGUCCCCGCAGAGCCCUGGGCAGAAGGACUCACAGACUCCCCAAGUCCCCAGUGCUGUGGUGGUCCCCAGCAGCGCCCACCUCCCCCAGGCCCUGGCUCCUACCUGGCCGGGGCCACAGCUCUCGAUCCACAGGCACACCCUCCACCUGGACACGAGCAUUUAUAGCCGCGCUCUGCAGCCGCCAGGAGCUGGCAAAUAUUUGGCAACAGCAUUGUCAUCGCAGACUGGGCAAAUAGAGCCCGUUUGCUUUAGCGCCCGGCAACCAGGGCCCCGAGGGGGGAGCACACCCCCGGCCUCACCUGCACACAGCCUGCCGGGGGACUGUGGAGUGUUUGUGCGGGCGCAGCUGGCUCGCCCCCGGGCCCCGGGACCCUUAUCUCUGCUGCUGACUGGGGCCCGGACCCAGCCUUGUCAAAUAGGCGGAAAAUUAAAUUUCAUGCUAUUUUGA